GAUAAACGCUGGCGGCGCACAUAAGACAUGCAAGUCGAACGGACUUAAUCGAUUCUUUUAGAUUCGAAGCGGUUAGUGGCGGACUGGUGAGUAACACGUAAGCAACCUGCCUGUUAGAGGGGAAUAACAGUGAGAAAUCACUGCUAAAACCGCAUAUGCCGUGAACAUCGCAUGAUGAAAACGGGAAAAGAGCAAUCUGCUAAUAGAUGGGCUUGCGUCUGAUUAGCUAGUUGGUGUGGUAAAGGCAUACCAAGGCAACGAUCAGUAGCCGGACUGAGAGGUUGAACGGCCACAUUGGGACUGAGAUACGGCCCAGACUCCUACGGGAGGCAGCAGUCGGGAAUAUUGCGCAAUGGAGGAAACUCUGACGCAGUGACGCCGCGUAUGGGAAGAGGGUUUUCGGAUUGUAAACCAUUUUAGACAAGGAAGAAACAAGACAGUACU
rnacentral:rRNA from 1 species